UCAUGACCUGAGCCGAAGGCAGACGCUUAACUGACUGAGCCACCCAGGUGCCCCUGCCUUCCUGUUUUUCUUAAGAUGGAAUUCUAGCUUUAUAGGAAGACCACUACUGACUGUACAGUUACUAGUCUAGUGCAUCAUCAUCUGAGGUAAUGCUGAUCAUCUUUGUUGGAGAGCCUUCUCCAGACCCUCUGACACACUUGCCUGUUCUACAUGUGUGAGGAAGAUUAAUCAUGUGGCCACUUCAGCCCAUUGCCGUUGGUGGUGGUGAUUUUUGGAUUUCCUGAGCCAGCAGUCUGAAUUUCAGAGAAAACAUUCAAGAUGAAAAAAGAAAAAGUCGAUGUCCAGAGAGGAAUGGUGAAGGGAUGCACCAUGAGCAGGAUCACGGGCACUUCUUCCCCUGGAAAAGGAGAUAGAAGAACUGGAACUGGACAGUAAUGUGGCUUAUCCCACCCCCCAUCCCCACCAUGGGGUAAGACUUACAGACCUGCAAAUCCAAGAGAUACAUCUCUCUGGACGAUAAGAGAGCUUCUUCCUCAAGAUCAAAAAAGGAGACUGGAGUGAGACCCAUGUAGGGAAUCCCCAGAAGGAAGGAUUGGCACACGUGGAACCCGAGGAGCUUGCUUCCUGGGAAGGCUCCUGUCUGAUGUGUAGGAGGCAGAAUGUCCUACUGACUCUUCAAGGGGAGGCUACAGGGGACCGAGACCCUCCACCACAGGGGACACUGUGCAGUCCUUUUUCUAGAAGUGGGAAGUACGAGAUUGUUCUACAAGAGGAAGAUUCCAGGGGCUUACAAACGCAGAGGUUUGCACCUUGGGAGCCCCUUGGAAUGUUGACAACUCAGGAUCUAAAGGAAAGUUCUGUGUUCAUGAGUUACAGAAUUCAUGUGGAAGUAAAUGUCACUUUAUGAUCAAUAAUAAUACUGAGUGAGGAGCACUAUGCAGGAAGAAAUCUUCCACAGAAAUACAGGCAGGGAGAAGCUUAGGCCAACCUUAGACCUACCUAAUAGAGCAAGCCUGAGAUAAACUGCCAGAAUGGCCAAAUAAGAGACUCUAUGAAAUAGCAAUCCUGUAACUAUAGUAGUCGUACAGAAAUUUUUUCCUCUAAAUCACGAUACCAAAUAGGAAAAAUGAUCUACAAGUGCCCCAUGUGUAGGGAAUUUUUCUCUGAGAGAGCAGAUCUUUUUAUGCAUCAGAAAAUUCACACUGCUGAGAAACCCCAUAAAUGUGACAAGUGUGACAAGGGUUUCUUUCAUAUAUCAGAACUUCAUAUUCAUUGGAGAGACCACACAGGAGAGAAGGUCUAUAAAUGUGAUGAUUGUGGUAAGGAUUUUAGUACUACAACAAAACUUAACAGACAUAAGAAAAUCCACACAGUGGAGAAGCCCUAUAAAUGCUAUGAGUGUGGCAAAGCCUUCAAUUGGAGCUCACAUCUUCAAAUUCACAUGAGAGUUCAUACAGGUGAGAAACCCUAUGUCUGUAGUGAGUGUGGAAGGGGCUUUAGUAAUAGUUCAAACCUUUGCAUGCAUCAGAGAGUCCACACCGGAGAGAAACCCUUUAAAUGUGAAGAGUGUGGGAAGGCCUUCAGGCACACUUCUAGCCUCUGCAUGCAUCAGAGAGUUCACACAGGAGAGAAACCCUAUAAAUGUUAUGAGUGUGGGAAGGCCUU